rnacentral:lncRNA from 10 species
CUGGGCUCAGACCGUGCUCCCACCUCACUCAGACUCUCCAGUAGCUGGGACUACAGGUGUGCACCAGCAUACCCAGCUAAUUUUAUUAUUUUUAUUUUUUGUAGAGACAGAAUCUUACUGUGUUGCCAGGCUGGCCUAGAACUCCUGGGCUCAAGCAGUUCUCCAGCCUUGACCUCCAAAAUGUUGGGAUUACAGGUGUGAGCCAUGGCGCCCAAAUGACAACAGGAUAUUUAAGCACUGUCUCUGUCAUUUGCUGGGUACUAUAGUAGGGACUGGAAAUUCAACGUGAAAAAAAGUUAAAUCUCUGCUGCCUUAAAAUUUCUGGAGGCUGGAAUGUCCAAAAGCAAGGUGCCAGAAGAUUCAGUGUCUGAAAAGGGCCCUCUUCCUGGUUUACAGAUGAUAGUCUUUUCAAGAUGUCCUCACAAGAAGAAAGAAAGGCUUACCUCCAAGGACAUGAAAAGCUGAAGCAGACUGGAAAAGUGAUACCAUUCAAAUCAUAUUCCUAAAAGAUUUUUAAACAUUUUAAUAAGCUCAUCAACCUAUGUCAUUUCCUUCUCCUCCUCCUCCUCUUCCACUUCUUGUGCAGUUGUAAUUAUUAUGAACAGGAUAUAAUGGUUUAUAAAUAAUGUUCGAGUUUCUUGGUUUUAGGACUUUUUGUAAAAUAAGCACCAAAACCAAAAUAGUCUUUAAUGACUCCAUUAAAGAAGAAAGCAUAUCUUUUAUAAUUUCUUAACACUACGUACUUCUCAACAUCAUCAAGUCUCCCUCAAAUGAAAAAUAAACUAAAUUGUUUUUAAUAUUUUUUAAUGCCAUUACUAAAAUACAGUGCACUAAGAAAGAACCAACUAAAAUUCCUAAAUUAAUGCUUUAUAAUAUUACAGUGAUGUGUACUGUUUAAUUAAGGCCAUAGACCAGUUGAUUAUCAAAGAUUUUUUUUUUCCUUUUGAUCUAAUGAUUGUUUGAUAUUUUUUCUAAUCCCAUUACUAACUUGUCUCAUCCAUUAACCUACGUAAGUGGAGUGUGAAAAAUGCAUUCAUAAAUUUAAGUUAAAUUUUUUUUAAAUUGCAGCAUGUGAAAUCUACUUAAUAAAUUCACACCAACUCCACAAAGCAUUGGGGCAAUUUAUAAACAAUACAUAUGAUAAAAAAAUUUAUAAUCAAUGAGAAUUUAAUAAGUUGCAGAAAUAUUUUUCAGGGAAAGUAAAGAUUUUCAGAGUAUUAUGUUUUAAAAUAACUGCUUUAUAUGGAACUAUAUACAUAAGACUGAGUGAUAUAAUACUCAAAAAAUACAUAAUUGUAGUUUUUGCACAUUAUAAGUAAUACAAAAAAGUCUAUGCUAGAUAUGUAUUAUAACAUAAUACCAUUAAACAUGCUUACUAAGCUGUCCUUUUGACACCUAGUAUCAACUUGUAGACACUUUUAUGGGGAAGGAAAAAAAGUCACACUAAGAAUAAUGUAUCUUGAAUUAUUACCAAAACAAUGUCUCACAUUGUGAGCACAUUCUUUUCAUAUAUUUAUCUCUGUCUCUCCUCUAACCUGGAAAUUUUAAUAUGUAGCCGAAUUGUGUUGUAUAUUGUAAAGAACUUAAAAGCAAUUAUAUAAUUUCAAUACAUUUGCAUUUGUUUUUCUUUGCAAUCUUACACUUAGAGAAAGAACAUUAAUUUGCUCUUUGCCACCAAACUAAACAAAAGUAGAAAUGACCCUGCUAACUCUAUUUCUGCAAUUUUACUUAUAAUAGCAUUUAAAAACUCAUUGAUUUAUAUGCAUUUCCAUAUUCCAAUUUGAAAUAUUCACAUAACAAAGCAUAAAUUGAGUGCCCAUACUUGAAAACAAGUAAAUAGUUUAAAAUGUAUUCCCUGAACCCACUGAGAAUUCUUUCAAGCCUACAUUAUUCAGGAGAAUGCAUGCAGCUGUUUAAAUUGAUAUCCUUAUCUCUUUCUCCAGGAUGGCAGGUCUGGGGUCUUCUUAUUUACUACUGCAUUAAGCACAGAGCCUAGUACCUAAUAAGAGCUCAAUAAAUAUAUGUUGCAUGGAUAAUAACUAAAUUCAUGUUUAAAAUUAUCAUGUGCUGAUCAGUUUCUAUAUUAAUGCAGGAACUGUCUUGAGAUCCAUAUGAGUUUUUGACCAUUGUCUCCUUCACUAGGCCGUAAUGAGGGUCCUUGAGGACAGGUACCACAUUUCAUUUUCCUUUAUAUUCUCAGUGCUUUGUUAAUAGAAGUUAGUCAAUAACUAUUUGUUAAGUGGAUAGUGAUUUUAAACAAACAUAGCUUACAAAAUAAUGACAGGCAUAAUCAACAGAUUUGACAGAAUAAAAAUGAGAAAAAACAAUGGUUGUGGCAUUCCUAGAUUUUAUAUGAAACCUACACAUGCAUAUAUUGUAUAGAUGUAUGUCACUGUGUUUAACAUAUUACUAUUUUAUUUUAAUAAAUGGAUCUAUAGGUCAGUAUAUUUAUUGGUUUGUUCCCUGACUCUUUUGUCAAAUAAGUUGGAAUCAGGAAUUUACUUGCCCUAUUAGGUACCAUUAUGUUUCUAAAAAACAUAAGACAACUUUACUACAUUAUGCCAUUGUAUGUCAUCAAAAAUGAACAUUAUUUUGUAUCUGUAUGCCCAUUAUAGUGUAACCAUUUUGAGGAGAGGAGAUGUUACCUUAGUCAUUUGUGAAACUCCAGCUCCAAGUUUAGAGUACACCAUGUGUUUUACUAAUAAGCCUUAGAGAAUUUGGAUUACUAUAGAGCAAUAAUUCUCUUGGGAGCUGAAUUGACAACUUGUUAACCAUUGGAAAAUACAAUAUUAUGUGUUACUUGAUUACACAAAUAAAACCUGUUUACUAAAAAAGCAAAACUGGCACAUGGACGUGUCAAUUGCCUUAAACUGCCGGAUUCAAUCUGCCAAUGUCAAUCAAAGGUCUCUACAUUGUACACUUUCUUUGAGAUAUCAAUUUUGUUUAGAGAAUUUUCUCUUUGGGAAAUAAUGAAUGAUUUGUGAUUGGAUUUAGCUACAGAUGUUUUCUGGUAGCAUUUUAAUAAUAAAUACCUGUAAAUAACUGAAGUAGCCAACAUUGUAUCACGGCUAUAAAAAAAAACCUAAGAUAAUCUGCAUAAUGAAAUAAAACUUCAAUGCAUAUUAUGUUUUAAAUGAAUAUAUAUUUACAAGGGUAUAUGCUCAUGAAACAUAAGACAAAAACAAGGCCACACACACACAGACACACACACACACAGAGUAUAUAGCAUAACCUUAUCCCUACCAAAUAUAAAGUAAUAAAGAUAUCUAUAAUAACAUAUGUAGAACUAUUAAAUAAUAUUUCCCUCU